rnacentral:rRNA from 1 species
AGAACGAACGCUGGCGGCAUGCCUAACACAUGCAAGUCGAACGCCUGUAGCAAUACAGGAGUGGCGCACGGGUGAGUAACGCGUGGGAACCUGCCCUGGAGUGGGGGAUAACCGAGAGAAAUUUCGGCUAAUACCGCAUACGUCCUGAGGGAGAAAGAUUUAUCGCUCUAGGAGGGGCCCGCGUCGGAUUAGCUAGUUGGUGGGGUAACGGCCUACCAAGGCUACGAUCCGUAGCUGGUCUGAGAGGAUGAUCAGCCACACUGGGACUGAGACACGGCCCAGACUCCUACGGGAGGCAGCAGUGGGGAUAUUGGACAAUGGGGGAAACCCUGAUCCAGUAAUGCCGCGUGAGUGAUGAAGGCCUUAGGGUUGUAAAGCUCUUUCGGCGGGGACGAUGAUGACGGUACCCGCAGAAGAAGCCCCGGCUAACUUCGCGCCAGCAGCCGC